GUCCAGCUAGCUCAAUUCGGCAGAGCACCCGGCUAAUUCGAAACUGGGGAGGUUCGAGGUUCGAGUCCUCGGCUGGACG
rnacentral:tRNA from 1 species